CUGGGCUCACCUGGUUUGAAGAGCACAAUGGCCUUCAUGCACGCGAACUCUGUGGGGUCUGUGGUCAGGGACUUGAAGCGGCUGAUGGUUUCCUGCAGGAUGCGGAUGUCCACGCUGGCAGACACCAGUUUCCCGUGGAUGUUGGGGGAGAGCUCAGGCACAGAGAGCAGCGGGCAGCUUUCCAAGGGCAUGGACCAUUGGAUGGCGCAGAGCAGGAACAGCUCGCUCCAGGCUUCCUCCAGCAAAAUCACCUGCCAAGGCGCAAGAGGAAGGAACAUUAACAUCUGGACCCCACUAUGCUAAGUGCUGCCCAGACAGAGCAAGAAGCCAGACCCUGCCCUGGAGAGCUGUGUCCCCGCAGAGGCCAGCGCUGAUCAAGAAAUGCCAGUGAAUUGAAAAAUCCAUGAUUCACCCAACUCUGCUAAUGAUCCAUCUUUAAGACUGAGGCUGCCUUCUGGCAAGGGUUCACACUGCAGGGGUCAUGACCUCCAGGGGUGGGACUUACCUCCUCGGUACCCAAUCAACUUGCCAGCACCCUGUUAACUGGCAUAAAGUGGACCCAGCUGGAGCCACCUUCCUCUUUAAUAUGGAGAUGGAGACUACAGCUCCCACCAUGCAGUGCACCAUCCCAAUCCAGGCAGAGGCUGCUCCUAGCUGCACCCAGGCUGCGAAGUAUUUACCCAUUCUCCUUUGAGGAUGAUAUAUUAUUUGUUGCAGGUCAUGGUCACCGUGUGGCACUUUCCAAACAGAAGGAAGGCGCAGCCUCUGUCCCAGAGAGCUUACAACCCAAGUGACACAGCAAAGAGAUCCAGGGGAGGGGACAGGGGUGUAACACGUGAGAAGAAAAGUCAUCUGGGGGUGAAUAAUGGAAUGGUUUGAUAGCACAAUGAAUUGUUUUAUGUGCAUCCCCAAGUUCUCAGAGUCUUCCCUUGAUCAGCUGGCUGGUUGGUUUCUUGUUGGCAUCGUGGAAGAAACUAGAAUGUGGAGAGAGAGACUUGAUCAGUCCUGUUUUCAUAGAGAGCCAGAUCCUUGCUGGUGUGGAUCAGCUUGGCUCCAAUGAAAUCAAUAGGGCUGUGCCAAUGACACCAGCUGGGGGUCUGGCCCCUAGACCAGAAAUGACUACGACCUGCCUGGGUCUCCUGGAACUACGAUGGGCUCACUGUUAGCUCUGUAUUGGAGAUCUCGCUCUCUCUGUCAUUCCCUGGCCCUCUCCCCUUUGUUCUCAGCUUAGGGGCUGAACGUUCCCAUUGUCCUGAGCUGAAGAUAUUACGUUGCCCAUAAAGCCUCUUGCUGAUUAGACUCAGGGAGAUCAAGGAGGACAGAGCACGUUCUCACACACCUGCCACAGAGCACAAGGCUUGGAGAUGGUAAGAGUCCAUGGGGCUUGCAGGGGGGUUAGAAGGAGCCCACCUGCCGCUAACUAUGCCAGGGAAAUCCCAUGCUGUGAAACUGAUUUGAAAUACUGACUCGGACUCCGACCCCAUCUCCAUUCCCUUUCUCUAAAAGGGAGUGUUGAAGAGAAGGGUCCUGAGAGCUCGGUGAGAUCCAGAGAACGAGGAUUGGACGUAUUUUCUUCAUUUGGACUCCAGAAAAGGAGUGUGGCCUAGUGCAGUGGUUUUCAAACUUGUUUUUUCGUGGACACUUGAAAAUUGCUGAGGGUCUCGGUGGAGCACUUAAUGAUCUUUACAAGUGUUGUUUUUACUGUUAGCUAACUAUU